GACGAACGCUGGCGGCGUGCUUAACACAUGCAAGUCGAACGGAAAGGCCCUGCUUUUGUGGGGUGCUCGAGUGGCGAACGGGUGAGUAACACGUGAGUAACCUGCCCUUGACUUUGGGAUAACUUCAGGAAACUGGGGCUAAUACCGGAUAGGAGCUCCUGCUGCAUGGUGGGGGUUGGAAAGUUUCGGCGGUUGGGGAUGGACUCGCGGCUUAUCAGCUUGUUGGUGGGGUAGUGGCUUACCAAGGCUUUGACGGGUAGCCGGCCUGAGAGGGUGACCGGCCACAUUGGGACUGAGAUACGGCCCAGACUCCUACGGGAGGCAGCAGUGGGGAAUAUUGCACAAUGGGCGGAGGCCUGAUGCAGCAACGCCGCGUGCGGGAUGACGGCCUUCGGGUUGUAAACCGCUUUCGCCUGUGGCGAAGCGUGAGUGACGGUAAUGGGUAAAGAAGCACCGGCUAACUACGUG
rnacentral:rRNA from 1 species